rnacentral:ncRNA from 2 species
AUUCGUGGUCUAGGGUGCCUUUAAUGGCUGAGAAAUACCCAUGGAACCUGCUGCAGUUAGUACUGUCGAAGGAAGAUCGAGUAAUUAGCAU